UUCGGUAUUACUUUAAGCCAAUUAAUCAGAACAAUAAAACAUUUGGUAAAUAUUAAGUAAUAUUUAGAAUAUAAUCUCAAUUUUAAAAUGACCAAUUGCCGUUAUAUUAGAUUUAAAAUGCACAUCUAGAAAUAUAAAAGCCUUUCACUUCAAAAUUUAAAAUUAUGAUCUACUAUUAACACCGCUUAAUUCAAUACUAAACUAUAUAACACUAAAUACUUACUAAAGAUUUAUUUUUUCUAAAGUUAAACUAAAAAUUACUUUGAUUAAAAAA
rnacentral:misc_RNA from 1 species